rnacentral:misc_RNA from 1 species
CUGAGUUACCGCUCUACAACCCUUUGUGAACAUACCUCAACUGUUGCUUCGGCGGGCAGGAGGACAACCCCCCUCGGGGGGCGGUCCCCCUCCCGGCCGCGCCCUCACGGGCGUGGCGCCCGCCGGAGGAUACCAAACUCUAUUUUAACGACGUUUCUUCUGAGUGGCACAAGCAAAUAAUUA